rnacentral:rRNA from 1 species
AGAAUCAACGCUGGCGGCGUGCCUAACACAUGCAAGUCGAACGCGAAAGUGGAGCAAUCCAUAAGUAGAGUGGCAAACGGGUGAGUAACGCGUGGGUGACCUACCUUCGAGUGGGGGAUAACCUUCCGAAAGGAGGGCUAAUACCGCAUGACAUCCUGUUCUUGGAUGAGCGGAGAUCAAAGCCGGGGAUCGCAAGACCCGGCGCUUGAAGAGGGACCCGCGUCCGAUUAGCUAGUUGGUGAGGUAACGGCUCACCAAGGCUCCGAUCGGUA